rnacentral:tRNA from 1 species
UCCCCUUUAGCUCAGCGGCAGAGCGGCCCGGACUACGAGUCGGGACGGGCACUGGUUCGAGUCCAGUCGGGGGAG